rnacentral:rRNA from 1 species
UGGGGAAUAUUGGACAAUGGGCGCAAGCCUGAUCCAGCCAUGCCGCGUGAGUGAUGAAGGCCCUAGGGUUGUAAAGCUCUUUCACCGGUGAAGAUAAUGACGGUAAUCGGAGAAGAAGCUCCGGCUAACUUCGUGCCAGCAGCCGCGGUAAUACGAAGCGGGCUAGCGUGGUUCGGAUUUACUGGGCGUAAAGCGCACGUAUGCGGACUAUUAAGUCAGGGGUGAAAACCCGGGGCUCAACACCGGAACUGCCUUAGAUACUGGUAGUCUUGAGUUCGGGAGAGGUGAGUGGAAUUCCGAGUGUAGAGGUGAAAUUCGUAGAUAUUCGGAGGAACACCAGUGGCGGAGGCGGCUGCCUGGCUCGAUACUAACGCUGAGGUGCAAAAGCGUGGUGAGCAAACAGG